GUCGAGAAUCUUUCACAAUGGGGGCAACCCUGAUGGAGCGACGCCGCGUGGAGGAUAAGGUCUUCGGAUUGUAAACUCCUGUCAUGCGUGAACAAGGUUGCUUGGUUAAUACCUGGGCAAAUUGAUGGUAACGCAAGAGGAAGAGACGGCUAACUCUGUGACAGCAGCCGCGGUAAUACAGAGGUCUCAAGCGUUGUUCGGAAUCACUGGGCGUAAAGGGUGCGUAGGUGGCGUGGUAAGUCAGAUGUGAAAGCCCGGGGCUCAACCUCGGAACUGCAUCCGAUACUGCCAUGCUAGAGUACUGGAGAGGUGACUAGAAUUCUCGGUGUAGCAGUGAAAUGCGUAGAUAUCGAGAGGAAUACCAAAGGCGUAGGCAGGUCACUGGACAGUUACUGACACUGAGGCACGAAGGCCAGGGGAGCGAACGGGAUUAGAAACCCGGGUAGUCC
rnacentral:rRNA from 1 species